CCAAAAAAAAUCAUUUACGCCGCCCAAAAAACUAGAUACCCACUCAGACACAGUCACUCACCCAAACACCCUCACUCCCUUCUCUCCGUCCAAAAAAAAUCAAACACGUAAAAAAAAAAUCAAACACUCUCACUACGAUCCCGUUUCGCAAGUCGCCGGCAACAAUGGACGGCGAAGAAUAACAACAUGAGCUUCCCGAUCUAGUAAAAGCACUCGUCAGCCACCUCACUCCCUCUGUAACACCCGACGCUGCCGCCAUCACCGAAUUCAUCAAUCGUCGUCUCGCCACUGAAGCUAUAUCCUCUGUAGCCAUCUCAUUGCGAAUCCAUCAAACCUGAGUAUGUGAAAUUGGUUAAGGAAGAAAACCAUGUAAUGGAGGAGGAUACGGUAACUGACGUGCUUUGUGCUUGUCAAGGAGUUGAUAUAUUGUAACAAAUGUUGACGCAACUGCUAGACCGAGAUAUUGGCGCUCAAAUUUCGAAUAUUCCGGUUGAUGUGAUGAACGUUGUAGGCGCUGAGUCGAAGUGUUGAGCCACCAAAGUAUGCAACAGCUAAACCGAAAUAUUUGGAUUGUUUCUUUACCUGCCAACCUAGACUUCAUGAUCUUCAACCAUCGAGGCAAAGUUUACUCCUGGAAACUAAUUUGAAGCUGAAACACUAAGGACUCUUGUAUCAACCAUCAAGUGUCAUUAUCCGUCGUGUAAGAAAAAUAGUCUCUUAAUAAGAAAGAAUUUGAAUGUGUUUGAUAUAACUGUUGGUUGAUGUAUGAAAUCCUGUUGUAGCUUAUGCUUAUCAGUAGUAAGUACUGGUUACUUGCCCUUGUAAUUUUGACAGGAUUUUACUAUUUGUAUUAUUUAUGAAGAGCCAACUUUC